GAUUAACGCUGGCGGUGUGCCUUAUACAUGCAAGUCGAACGGCCCGCAAGGGCAGUGGCAGACGGGUGAGUAACACGUGGGUAACCUACCCUGAAGUGGGGAAUAACUCGCCGAAAGGCGAGCUAAUACCGCAUAAGCUCACGAGGUGCAAUUCCUUGUGAGAAAAGAUUUAUUGCUUCAGGAGGGGCCUGCGCCCGAUUAGCUUGUUGGUGGGGUAAUGGCCUACCAAGGCUGUGAUCGGUAGCUGGACUGAGAGGUUGAACAGCCACACUGGAACUGAGAUACGGUCCAGACUCCUACGGGAGGCUG
rnacentral:rRNA from 1 species